rnacentral:tRNA from 1 species
GGAGAGGUGGCAGAGCGGUUGAAUGCAGCGGUCUUGAAAACCGCCGUGCCGAAAGGUACCGUGGGUUCGAAUCCCACCCUCUCCGCCA